CAAGAGCGUAUGUAAAAGUUGUUGCAGUUAAAAAGCUCGUAGUUGAACCUUGGGUUUGGUUGGCCGGUCCGCUUUUUUGCGAGUACUGGAUUCAACCGAGCCUUUCCUUCUGGCUAACCAGUCGUUUCGGCGGCUGGCGAACCAGGAUUUUUACUUUGAGCAAAUUAGAGUGUUCAAAGCAGGCAUUAGCUUGAAUAUAUUAGCAUGGAAUAAUAGAAUAGGACGUUAUGGUUCUAUUUUGUUGGUUUCUAGGACCAUCGUAAUGAUUAAUAGGGACGGUCGGGGGCAUCAGUAUUCAGUUGUCAGAGGUGAAAUUCUUGGAUUUACUGAAGACUAACUACUGCGAAAGCAUUUGCCAAGGACGUUUUCAUUAA
rnacentral:rRNA from 1 species